AGCAUUUUGGUCACCCAAACCCCUUUCCCCAAAACUUUGGGGUGCUUUGUGUGGAUCCAUCACUCCCCUGAAGGGUUUUGGGCACCCAGCCCCUCUUUACAAAAUUUUGGGCGCUCUGCAUGGAUCUGUCCCUCCCUCGAAGGAUUUUGGAGACCCAACCCCUCUCCCUGAAAGUUUGGGGUGCUCUGCACAGAUCCAUCUAUCCCUUGAAGGGUUUUGGGCACCCAAGCCCUCUUUUUGCUGCUGGGUCUCACAUUGGUCAUCUCCAACCUUCUGAAAUUGGGACAGGAGGGGGCAAUUCCCACCCACCCCACUGAUCCCACUGAUAUGGGGGAUUCCCAUCCCUGAACCGCUGCUUCCUGAAGUUCUCUUGGUGCUUAUCCGCAUUCCCAUCCCCCAGGGAUGUCCUCCAGAACCUGAACUUGGACUCGUGGCGAGGAAGCUGCCAGAGGGGCGACGUCAAGGAAGACGACUUCCGCAACAUCUCGGUGAUGCCCUUCUCCCGCUACUACCUCAACUGCUCCAUCGAGUCCCACUACGCCACCUACAACUGGUACCACGAGGACGUGCUCAUCAAGAGCUGCAACACCUCCCACCCGCAGCACGACUGCUUCCACUUCAUCCCCAGCGUCCGGCGCGAGCACUACGGCCACUACGUCUGCGUGUCCGAGGAGGACGGCUUCCGCCAGGCGCUGGUCAAGGAGCGCCUGCUGGACCGCCAGCGCUUCUUGUCGCAGCGCGGCCGCGCUCCGGCCACGCUGGCCUCGUGGCUCCAGCUGCUGCUGGUGCUGGCCCUGGCCGAGCUCUUCCACUGACGCCGUCCCGCUGGCCCUGCCGCCGCCGCGGCUCCCUCGGACUCUUGGUGCUCCCCACCGCCCGCCUCGCUGGAAGAGCCGCGGCAGGAGGGUGUGACACGCGGCGGCCUCGGCGGCGGCGGCUCCGCUGGCCAGCCAUGCAUGCGCUGAUGCUCAGGGCAUGGCCGCUCCUUGCAUGUGAUGAAGAUGAGGAGGAGGAGGAGGAACCGGCCCUCGGCCUCCAGACUGCGGGAUGCCCGCGGGGACCGCUGCCUCCCGAGCUUUCGCGGGGUGAUGUUGGGGUCGGCAGCGGCUGGGACAGCCCCGGCGAGUCCCCUCCUGCUCCGUGGGGGCUCGGAGGCUGCAGGGGGGCUCGGUUCGUUGUUUUUUGUUCGCAGCCGGCUUUGGUGUGGGAGGGAGGUCGGGAAUCGGCGCCGCCGCGUUGGGAAUUUGCAUGGAAAAGCCUCGGAAGGUGGCUGGAUUUGGGGUGUGGGGAAAGGGAAGGUGGGAGCAGAGCCCGGAGCGGAGCGGGAGGCGCUGGGGGAGACGCUGGAGACGCACAAAUCCUCUGCGGGCAGCUGAGGGGCAUCGCAGCGGGGCCGUGCCCGCUCCCACCCUGUCCCGGGCGUCCUCAGGGAAAGCGGCCGCGGAUCUCAGGGCACCGGGGGGGCUGCGCCUGCCCCCAGCUCUGUCCCUGUCCCCCGGGCCGGGC
rnacentral:lncRNA from 1 species